GUGGCAGCCGCCGCGGUAAUACGGAAGGUGCAAGCGUUAAUCGGAAUUACUGGGCGUAAAGCGCACGUAGGUGGUUUGGUAAGUCGGAUAUGGAAGCCCCGGGCUCAACCUGGGAAUUGCAUUCGAUACUGCCAGGCUAGAGUAUGGCAGAGGGGGGUGGAAUUCCACGUGUAGCAGUGAAAUGCGUAGAGAUGUGGAGGAACACCGAUGGCGAAGGCAGCCCCCUGGGCCAAUACUGACGCUCAUGCACGAAAGCGUGGGUAGCAAACAGGAUUAGAUACCCUGGUAGUCCACGCCCUAA
rnacentral:rRNA from 1 species